GAAUGUGAGGGUAAUCUGGCUGCAACAGCUGUCACCCCUUGAUCACCAGGGUUGAUUUGGCCGACCUUGCUGGCCAGGUAGAUAUCACCUUCCUCCCUCACAGCUCCUAGUGCAUCCCUCCCAAAGCUGCAUGCUCAGUCGAAGAGGACGAUCUUCCCUGAUACAGGAGAACCAUUACUCGGUCGAGGGUAUCCAGUAGCUGCACUCCCCUGCUAAAACCACCAAACAAGCUCCAAGGAAGACCCUGUCUCAAAUUUUUUUUUUUUUUUAAAGACAGA
ensembl:misc_RNA 7SK 7SK RNA